rfam:Oryza meridionalis cultivar OR44 (W2112) chromosome 7, whole genome shotgun sequence.
UAUAAGUGCAGCCAUAAAUUUCCGUACCCAACUUUAAUCAUACGUCUUAUUUAUUUUUUGUGAUUAGUAUUUUUAUUGUUACUAGAUGAUAAAAUAUAAAUAGUACUUUAUGCGCGACUUAUGUUUUUAAACUUUUUUAAUAAAACUUUUAAAUAAGACGGACGAUUAAAGUUGAGCAUGGAAAAUCAUGGCUGUACUUAAA